GACGAACGCUGGCGGCGUGCCUAAUACAUGCAAGUAGAACGCUGAAGAGAGGAGCUUGCUCUUCUUGAAUGAGUUGCGAACGGGUGAGUAACGCGUAGGUAACCUGCCUUGUAGCGGGGGAUAACUAUUGGAAACGAUAGCUAAUACCGCAUAACAAUGGGUGACACAUGUCAUUUAUUUGAAAGGGGCAAUUGCUCCACUACAAGAUGGACCUGCGUUGUAUUAGCUAGUAGGUGAGGUAACGGCUCACCUAGGCGACGAUACAUAGCCGACCUGAGAGGGUGAUCGGCCACACUGGGACUGAGACACGGCCCAGACUCCUACGGGAGGCAGCAGUAGGGAAUCUUCGGCAAUGGGGGCAACCCUGACCGAGCAACGCCGCGUGAGUGAAGAAGGUUUUCGGAUCGUAAAGCUCUGUUGUAAGUCAAGAACGAGUGUGAGAGUGGAAAGUUCACACUGUGACGGUAGCUUACCAGAAAGGGACGGCUAACUACGUGCCAGCAGCCGCGGUAAUACGUAGGUCCCGAGCGUUGUCCGGAUUUAUUGGGCGUAAAGCGAGCGCAGGCGGUUUGAUAAGUCUGAAGUUAAAGGCUGUGGCUCAACCAUAGUUCGCUUUGGAAACUGUCAAACUUGAGUGCAGAAGGGGAGAGUGGAAUUCCAUGUGUAGCGGUGAAAUGCGUAGAUAUAUGGAGGAACACCGGUGGCGAAAGCGGCUCUCCGGUCUGUAACUGACGCUGAGGCUCGAAAGCGUGGGGAGCGAACAGG
rnacentral:rRNA from 1 species